GAUGAACGCUGGCGGCGUGCUUAACACAUGCAAGUCGAACGGAGUGCUCUCGAAAGAGGAUUCGUCCAAUUGAGAGAGUUACUUAGUGGCGGACGGGUGAGUAACGCGUGAGGAACCUGCCUUGGAGUGGGGAAUAACAGUUAGAAAUGACUGCUAAUACCGCAUAAUGCAAUUGUAUCGCAUGGUACUGAUUGCCAAAGAUUUAUCGCUCUGAGAUGGCCUCGCGUCUGAUUAGCUAGUUGGUAGGGUAACGGCCUACCAAGGCGACGAUCAGUAGCCGGACUGAGAGGUUGGCCGGCCACAUUGGGACUGAGACACAGCCCAAACUCCUACGGGAGGCAGCAGUGGGGAAUAUUGCACAAUGGGGGAAACCCUGAUGCAGCAACGCCGCGUGAAGGACGAAGGUUUUCGGAUCGUAAACUUCUAUCAACAGGGAAGAAUAAAUGACGGUACCUGAAUAAGAAGCCCCGGCUAACUACGUGCCAGCA
rnacentral:rRNA from 1 species